GCCUUUGAAGCUCAGCCAAAGCUGUAGGUAGGGCCUGAACCUGCUCCUGUGGAACAUCCUGCUCGGCCAAGGACUACCCUAUUAGUCUUGAGCUCGACUUUUCACAGACAUUUAUGAAUAGAAAAAGAAAACACAUUCUUAAUAAUCCAUUCACAAAGGCAUGCAGCAGUGUUUACCAUAAUUGCAAAAUUUAAAUUAAAUUCACAAUAGCAUAAAAAGGUAGCCCAAUUUUUGUAAUUUGGUCCCAAGCAUUUGACAUUUCCAUGGUGAAAAUCUGACAAGUCUGAACCACCCAAAUUUGGCAGUCUGAUGUACAUAAAAAAGAUGCAAAAUAACUCGACAGGAAACAAAGGUUAAUUAUCAUAAAAAUUAAUCAUGAAUAAACCACAACAGAUGGAAGAAUUCUCGUAGUUAUGCCUACAAAAUCUAGAGACUAACAAUUAAUUGCAAUAACAGAAAAAAGAGUGGACAAGGGAAAAAGAUCUGGCAAGUAGAUGCAUGCAUCAUAAGAUUACCUUCAUGUCUGAACUUUUCCUGCCAGACCUUCGUUUAACUUUUGCGUUCACAGGGUUUGAUUGUUUGAGUUUAUGCAUCUUAAGUUGUUUCCGAACCAACCACCCACGGAUUGCUGAAAGCACAUUAAAAGAAAAAAGAAAGAAAGUAAGAAACUGUGUGCCAUUAGAAAACCACAAAGUUGGCUAAUCAACAACAUAAUUUCUACCAGAUUGUAAACAUAUGAUCUCUCUCAGCUGCUCAUCACGAAUUUCGGGAACAACAGCCGAACAACUCUUUCCCAAGCUAGCAUGUCGCCUCCUCGUAUUCUCACCACGUGCAACUACAUUGUAGAGGUAACUUUCAUCAUAUAGGUGAAUGAAAAAGCUCAGGAACAUUUUUAAUGAGACAGGCUUCGGAGGUUUUAAAAAAAUCAAGUAUGAUUCAUAAAUCUUAGACUUUGAGCCCCCAAAAUAACUAACAUUGGUGCUUUAAAGCACAAACACAAGUAAACACCAAAACUGAAGGACCCCAGAGGAAUUUUGCUCCAUUGAAUAAAACGAGCAAGUGACAUCAAGAAUAUAUAGAGACAAAUAAG
rnacentral:lncRNA from 1 species